GAUGAAGAACGCAGCGAAAUGCGAUAAGUAGUGUGAAUUGCAGAAUUCAGUGAAUCAUCGAAUCUUUGAACGCACAUUGCGCCCCUUGGUAUUCCAUGGGGCAUGCCUGUUCGAGCGUCAUUUGUACCUUCAAGCUUUGCUUGGUGUUGGGUGUUUGUCUCGCCUCUGCGUGUAGACUCGCCUUAAAACAAUUGGCAGCCGGCGUAUUGAUUUCGGAGCGCAGUACAUCUCGCGCUUUGCACUCAUAACGACGACGUCCAAAAGUACAUUUUUACACUCUUGACCUCGGAUCAGGUAGGGAUACCCGCUGAACUUAAGAAUAUCAAUAAGCGGAGGA
rnacentral:misc_RNA from 1 species